rnacentral:rRNA from 1 species
GACGAACGCUGGCGGCGUGCCUCAUACAUGCAAGUCGAGCGGAUGCAGCAAUGCAUUAGCGGCGGACGGGUGAGUAACACGUGGGCAACCUGGCCUUAAGAGGGGGAUAACGUCCCGAAAGGGACGCUAAUACCGCGUAAAUCAGCGAAAUCGCAUGAUUUUGUUGGAAAAGGAGUAAUCCGCUUAAGGAUGGGCCCGCGGCCUAUUAGCUAGUUGGUAGGGUAAUGGCCUACCAAGGCGACGAUAGGUAGCCGACCUGAGAGGGUGAACGGCCACACUGGAACUGAGAAACGGUCCAGACUCCUACGGGUGGCUG